rnacentral:rRNA from 1 species
AUGCCGGGGCUCGCCGCAGCGGACGCGUCGCCGCCGGCCGCGGCGCCGGCGCCGCGGCGGCUCUCCUCGCCGCUGCCGAGGCGGGCGCCGCCGUCGCCGUCCCCCUCCUCCGCGUCCCGCGCCGUCGGGAAGCCGGCGCGGAAGUCGCUCGGGCAGGGCCAGCACCCGGAGGCGACGGACGAGGCGGCGCUGGACAACCCGGAUCUGGGCCCCUUCCUGCUCAAGCAGGCGCGGGACGCCAUGGUGUCCGGCGAGGGCGGGGGCGCGGCGCGCGCGCUCGAGUUCGCCGAGCGUGCGGCCCGCGCGCUCGAGCGCCGCGGCGAGGGCGCCGAGCUCGAGCUCGCCAUGAGCCUCCACGUCGCCGCCGCGAUCCACUGCGGGCUCGGCCGGCACGCCGACGCCGUGCCCGUGCUCGAGCGCGCCGUCGCCGUCGUCACCCCGCCGCCCGCGCCGGCCCCCGUGGCCGAGGGUGAGGAGGUGCCGCAGCCGGAGGAGGAGGUGGAUGAGCGCAAGGGGGAGGAGUGGGCGCUCGCCGCCUUCUCCGGCUGGAUGCAGCUCGGCGACACCCACGCCAUGCUCGGCCGCAUGGACGAGUCCAUCGCCUGCUACGGCAAGGGCUUCGAGAUCCAGAUGGCCGCGCUCGGCGACCGCGACCCCCGCGUCGCCGAGACCUGCAGGUCAGUCGCCUUUUCUCGAUCUAGAUCUCCCUCUCCGUUGCUUCCACCUCCUCCAAUUUUACUCGUCAAAAGAAAAAUCUCACCUUUUUUCACUGCCUUUAGUUUUAGUUUUAUGUUGCCGCGGAUCUCUGCAAAAAUUGGCAUUAAGAUCACAGCAAACACCUACGAAAUUCACAGACAAAGACCAAAAAUAACAAAUGCGUUGCUCUUGUACGAUGACAGGUAUCUGGCGGAAGCGCAUGUGCAAGCUCUGCAGUUCGAUGAGGCAGAGAAACUGUGCCGCAAAGCCCUCGAGAUCCACCGGGAGCACAGUGCACCUGCAUCCCUCGAGGAGGCCUCCGAUCGCCGGCUGAUGGCCCUUAUCCUGGACGCCAAGGGUGACUAUGACGGCGCCCUGGAGCACCUUGUACUGGCUUCCAUGACCAUGGUUGCCAAUGGACGCGACGUCGAGGUUGCGACGAUUGAUGUCGCGAUAGGCAACACUUACCUGGCCCUUGCUCGUUUCGACGAGUCUGUCUUCUCAUACCAGAAGGCUUUGACUGUACUCAAGUCUGCCCGUGGCGACGACCACCCUUCAGUGGCAUCUGUCUUCGUCCGCCUUGCUGAUCUCUAUCACCGCACAGGGAAGCUCCGUGAGUCCAAAUCCUACUGUGAGAAUGCUCUCCGUGUCUAUGCAAAGCCCGCGCCUGGUGCUGCCCCUGAUGAGGUUGCUGGAGGCCUAAUGGAGAUUGCUGCCAUCUAUGAGGCGCUUGGAGACCUUGAUGAGGCCCUAAAGCUUCUUCAAAGGGCACUGAAGUUGCUCGAGGACUCACCAGGGCAGUGGAGCACUGUUGCUGGGAUCGAAGCACAAAUGGGUGUGUUGUACUACAUGAUAGGGAGGUAUGCCGAUUCAAGGAACUCGUUCGAGAGCGCGGUUUCCAAAUUGAGGGCCAGUGGGGAAAGGAAGUCGGCAUUUUUCGGUGUUCUGCUGAACCAGAUGGGGCUAGCUUGCGUACAGCUGUUCAAGAUUGAUGAGGCUGCACAGCUGUUUGAAGAAGCACGGGCAGUUCUAGAGCAGGAGUGUGGUGCCUCUCAUCCUGAUACUCUUGGCGUAUACAGCAACCUGGCUGCGAUCUAUGAUGCCAUGGGAAGGGUGGAGGACGCGAUUGAGAUCCUGGAGCAUGUGCUGAAGGUGCGGGAGGAGAAGCUGGGCACGGCGAACCCGGACGUGGAGGAUGAGAAGAAGCGGCUGGCGGAGCUGCUGAAGGAGGCGGGGCGGUCCCGGAACCGGAAGCAGAAGUCGCUGGAGAACCUGUUCGGGUCCGGCGGUGCUGCGCGGGGCGCCAAGAAGGACGGCUCCGGGGGCAGGCGGUGGACCAACUUCGGGUUCAGGAGCUGA